rnacentral:rRNA from 1 species
UGGGGAAUAUUGGACAAUGGGCGCAAGCCUGAUCCAGCCAUGCCGCGUGAGUGAUGAAGGCCCUAGGGUUGUAAAGCUCUUUCACCGGUGAAGAUAAUGACGGUAACCGGAGAAGAAGCCCCGGCUAACUUCGUGCCAGCAGCCGCGGUAAUACGAAGGGGGCUAGCGUUGUUCGGAUUUACUGGGCGUAAAGCGCACGUAGGCGGACUAUUAAGUCAGGGGUGAAAUCCCGGGGCUCAACCCCGGAACUGCCUUUGAUACUGGUAGUCUUGAGUUCGAGAGAGGUGAGGGGAAUUCCGAGUGUAGAGGUGAAAUUCGUAGAUAUUCGGAGGAACACCAGUGGCGAAGGCGGCUCAAUGGCUCGAUACUGACGCUGAGGUGCGAAAGCGUGGGGAGCAAACAGG